rnacentral:rRNA from 1 species
AUUGAACGCUGGCGGCAUGCCUUACACAUGCAAGUCGAACGGCAGCACGGACUUCGGUCUGGUGGCGAGUGGCGAACGGGUGAGUAAUGUAUCGGAACGUACCUUUCAGUGGGGGAUAACGUAGCGAAAGUUACGCUAAUACCGCAUAUUCUGUGAGCAGGAAAGCAGGGGAUCGCAAGACCUUGCGCUGAUUGAGCGGCCGAUAUCAGAUUAGCUAGUUGGUGAGGUAAAGGCUCACCAAGGCGACGAUCUGUAGCGGGUCUGAGAGGAUGAUCCGCCACACUGGAACUGAGACACGGUCCAGACUCCUACGGAGGCAGCAGUGGGAAUUUUGGACAAUGGGGCAACCCUGAUCCAGCCAUGCCGCGUGAGUGAAGAAGGCCUUCGGUUGGUAAG